CCUACGGGUGGCUGCAGUGGGGAAUAUUGGACAAUGGGCGAAAGCCUGAUCCAGCCAUGCCGCGUGUGUGAAGAAGGCCUUCGGGUUGUAAAGCACUUUCAGUGGGGAAGAAAGCCUUGGGGCUAAUACCCUCGAGGAAGGACAUCACCCACAGAAGAAGCACCGGCUAACUCCGUGCCAGCAGCCGCGGUAAUACGGAGGGUGCGAGCGUUAAUCGGAAUUACUGGGCGUAAAGCGCGCGUAGGCGGUCUGAUAAGCCGGUUGUGAAAGCCCGGGGCUCAACCUGGGAACGGCAUCCGGAACUGUCAGGCUAGAGUGCAGGAGAGGAAGGUAGAAUUCCCGGUGUAGCGGUGAAAUGCGUAGAGAUCGGGAGGAAUACCAGUGGCGAAGGCGGCCUUCUGGACUGACACUGACGCUGAGGUGCGAAAGCGUGGGUAGCAAACAGGAUUAGAUACCCCGGUAGUC
rnacentral:rRNA from 1 species